AAACAAUAAAAGAAAGUUCAUGAAGAGCACAACAGAUGGACAGAGAGUGGAAAGUAAUAGAUCAGAUGAGAGAGGAGAUGGAGAUAGAGGAAGAAAAAGAGGGAGAUGUAGAGGCACAAGCAACAGAAAGAAAGAAGCAAGCAUGGAGAAAGAGGCUGGUACAUAAUCAUCCAUUCCAUAUCCAUACACAAAUCAGCAAGGAACCCAUCACAAUACAUUGUUGUAUUGAUAUUUAAAGCAUUGAUCCAUGUGCCCCUUUUAUACUUUGAGCACUUGCCCCUCCAAAGGUCUCUGCACGGCCCUGGUAGAAACUGAGUCUCAGACAUUCUGUGGUUCAAAACAGAAAGUCAGAUGAGAUCACGAGGGAAGCUCAGCAGGAAGUGGCUGUGUUUCGUCUCUCAGCUUGAGGAAUGCUGUUCUUCAAUGAGCCAAACAAACACAAAGACAGACGGAAAGACCAGGGAGCUCCGGUUUCGUCAGACAGUCUGCUGGAGAAGUCCGAGUCAGUCGUCCGGUUCGGUCAAACACUGCUCCAGUAUCUCCCGCAGACCGGGGGUCUCCACAGCGCUCCUCAUCAUUGAUCUGCUUGUUACCUGAGAAAAAAAACAGCACCGACUCGUCUCACACUGAUUCAAUCGCCCUCUACACAUGUGCAUCUCAAAUGAUAUUCAAAGAAUAUCUGGAGAUUAUAAUCAGUGUCUAGUGAUACAAGCCUUUUGAAGGUUGCAUAGUCUGCCAACAGGUUUCUCAACGGAUGAUAAACAUCCAUUAAAUUUAAUCUUUGCAUGCAUCA